UACGGAAGGGGCAAGCGUUGUCCGGAAUUAUUGGGCGUAAAGAGCUCGUAGGCGGUUUGUUGCGUCGGCUGUGAAAUCCCGAGGCUCAACCUCGGGUCUGCAGUCGAUACGAGCAAACUAGAGUGUUGCAGGGGAGACUGGAAUUCCUGGUGUAGCGGUGAAAUGCGCAGAUAUCAGGAGGAACACCGGUGGCGAAGGCGGCCAACUGGACGAAUACUGACGCUGAGACUCGAAAGCGUGGGGGGCAAACAGG
rnacentral:rRNA from 1 species